GACUACAUGAAGCUGGAAUCGCUAGUAAUCGCGGAUCAGAAUGCCGCGGUGAAUACGUUCCCGGGUCUUGUACACACCGCCCGUCACACCAUGGGAGUCGGAAAUGCCCGAAGUCUGUGACCCAACCCACGGGAGGGAGCAGCCGAAGGCAGGUCGGAUGACUGGGGUGAAGUCGUAACAAGGUACC
rnacentral:rRNA from 1 species